CCUCCUUCCCAAGAGUGCCGACCAGCCCUCUCUCCCUCUCUAACUCCAUUGUUUCAAAAUUUUACUUCACAAAUCCUACUCAAACCACCACCAAAACAUCUCCAAAUUCAACCAAACUUGCACCACACUUAGCUUAACACUAGGAGAUCAUUUUGAGCUGCAAAAAGGGUGCUGGAAAUCACGGUUUCUUGGAGCAUUUCAAGGGCCAAAAAUUCUGAUCUAGUACAUUAAGAAGGACCGAAUCUCGGAGAAGUAUGGAGAAAUCCUUCGUUGUUCUUUUGUUUAGGAUUUCUACUAUAUUUUGGCUAUGCCCUGGUUUGAGUUGUACUUUUGGAAUUGAAAUGUAAAAAUUUGAGCCCUGAUGUGUAUUUAGAAUUUAAGUCGUAUUAUGAUUAUCCGAUGUAUUGGUUACAUGUUAAGUGACUUGUUAAGUUUGAACGCUUCCGCAUUAUUUGUAUUCAUGUUGCUCUCUUCGAAAUGUUUGGUUUGGUUUUAAGUUGAAUGGAAUUGCUUGAGUCUUGGCGAGAGCUGGGCAGGCGUCCCGCGGAUACCCUUUGGUUCGCCUUAGGGAGAUGUGGGGGCGUCACAGUAACACCAAACGUUAAGGAGAUAAAGUGAUAAUAAACUAUAUAUAUAUAUAAUAAAUAAUAAAAAAAAGGGCAAGUCACGAGUCAAGAGUACGGCUGCUCAUGGUCCAAGCUACUUGCGAGCAGUUACUCGAGUCAGAGAUCGACUCAAAAUCAAUCAAUACCGAACUCGAGUCGAACUUGAGCGGUUCGUGUGAAUAAGUGAGUCAAGUUCGAGUUAUUUGUUCUCAGGUUCAAUCGCUCGUCAAGCCACUUGACUAAGCUCGUCUAAGAUGUGAAAUGACAAUUAUACCUCUGAACAUUACAAAAAUCACCAAAUACAAUUAUCUAAUACUCAUAUUCCCAAAUCCCAAAUUUGAAGGGCUGCUUGGUUAAAGGAUUUGGGAAUCACAGAAUGGAAUAAAUUCCUUAUUUGUUGCUUGGAUUAAGCCUAUUGGAAUGCAAUUUUUGGAAUCAUUUCUAAAAAAUCGGACUUAUCCCAUUCCCGAGCAAAUUGGGAGGUUUUAGACAAAACCCUCAACUUAUUCUCUCAGACAACAUUUAUGAUGGACCUAUCCUCUCUUUCUCUCCAUUACACGCCGCACCUUCUGUUCUUCUUCUUCAUCAGAUUUCCUAAUUCAUCUUCUUCAUCAUAUAGUCUUCAUCUCUUAUCCAAAAUUUCUUGAAAAAAAAAUCUAAAAUAAAUCUAAAUGGGAUAGAAAUAGGCAAAUAUCUUCAGCGAUAAAGAGGCACUCAAUCAUAACAACUCUUGUUCUUCUCGAAUUUGACCUACAUCUUUUAACUGAUUGUGGAAAAUCCUUAGCCAACAAAGAAAUGGACGAUUUGAGUCGAGCCAAAAUUUCUGAUUUUACAUUUUACCAAAUUUUCCUGACUACAAAGUACCUUUAGAAAAGUGAACGCAAUCCCUUUCAUUUAUAAACUGCAGAUAGUUUGAAUUUACAGGUUGCCUGGGGUUAAAUCAUGUAUGUAUUGUUGAGGUCUCUGAGAUUUUGACUGAUGAGCCGUUCAUGUUUUGGAAGAGGGAGGACUCCACAGGCCAACGAAAUUGGUUAAAUAGCGCAUUAAAUACAAAACCUGCCAGUUUUCCAUAAAGAGCUGGUAUGUUAUGAGCAAUUUUUUUUUUUUUUAACUUUCACAUAUUUAAUUUAUGUUAAAUACAAAACAUACUAGUUUUCCUUUGGACGCUAUUUAACCAAUUUUUUUCUAUAAAGAGCUGGUAUGUUUCCCAUAACGAGUUGAUACAAAAUAUACUAUAAAAUCUGCCAGUUUUUCAUAAAGAGUUGGUAUGUUAUGCGCUAUUUAACUAAUUUUUCAUAUUUAAACAAAUUUAUGAAAAUUAAAAUAAUGUAUUUGAAAGUUGAGUUUUUAUUUGGAAGAACGCAUUCCUUGGAUGUGUUUUUCACCCUUUGGGAAGAAACUCAAAAAUCGCCACCAUUUGGGAAGUUAGUUUAAAAACUCCAUCUUUUUGGGAAUUUACUCCUUGUUAAUACAGCUACUAUAUUUAUUUUCUGGUAUUAAUUUUUUUUAUGGUUUAUGAUUUUCUUAUGUUUUAUCAAAAAAGUUAAUAAUUAUUGUAGUUACAAUUAUGGAAAUGUUAAUUUGUCGUAUGUGUAAUUCUUUUGUUUUAUAAGAAUUGUUAUAUCAAGGCUAAAUUUAAAAUUUAAUUGCAUUUAAUUCCGAAACACUCAUAAAACCAAGCAUCAGGAAUUGGAAUGAUGCUAAUUCCAAUAUGUGAACCAAGCUAGAUAUUGGAAUGUAAAGUUUAAUUCCAAAAUCAGGGUUUAUGAUUCCAUUUUCAUUUCCGAUUCCAAUAUGUGAAACAAACACCUCCUGAAUUAUUCGACCUCACAUCAAGAUCCAAUCGAACAACCCAAACCCUAGGUCACAGUCAACACCACUCCACCACAUCUGCCCUUAUCCAUCACCAUUGAUCUCACCAGUCACAUUACCCAUCCGCCACCGGUCCACCGCCAUUCACCUCACCAGUCACCAUCACCACCACAUCCGUCACCAGUCUACCAUCAUUCAUCUUACCAGCAACCAACCUUCAAGGCUUAAAUCGAAGACCAAGAAGAGUUGCAACUAGCUAGCAAUAGCAAAAUAGUCGCAACAACAGGGAAAGAAGAGGGCUUAUAUUCUUGUGGUUUUGGAGCUUGUUGACUACCUCACAUCAUCCUUAGGCGAAAAUAUUUAUACUUGGAAAUUUGCAUCUAGCAUUUUUAUUCCCCUAUUUAGGUGAUCAGCUUUAAUUCUAAUGUGUUGGAGAUUGGUGUUGAAGAAAGGGGAAAAGGUAACUAAAAAGCAAAAUUACUAUACAUAAUAUUUGAAAUAUGUCUUUCUCUUACUAUUUCUUGACUUCCUUUUCUUAAUUUUUUUGCUUUUUGCAGAAAUGAAGACUGCACAAGAGGUUGCAUUGCCUAUUUCUUGACUUCAUUAUGCUUGAGAUAAUUUGCAUUUAAUUUUCCUUGUUAUGAUCUUACUUGUGGGGUCUUUAGCUGUUUUUUGGCUAGUUUUUUUAUCCUUUUUUCUUGGCUAGUCUUUGGCUAUUUUAUGCUAGUUUUUUGGCUGCAUAUGUUGUGAAUUUUCACAUUUUAGAUACUCUGCAAGUUUGAUCUCCACAUGUUUUUGAAAGUUUUUUGGCUGGUUUUUUGACCCUUUUUCUUGGCUAGUGUUUGGCUGUUUUUUUGCCAGCUUACUUGCUAGAUUUUUUUUGCUGUUUAAUGUAGUUAAUGUUGCACAUUUUAGCUACUGUGCAGAGCUGAGGACUUGAGGCAGGACUGGAGUAGAGAAGUGGGGAACUCAUGGUUAGUUCAUAGGCUCAUAGUUGUCUGCGACAACGCAUUUCUCCUUUGAACUUUGUUUGUGUACUUGAUUGAUUGUGUGACAAUGAUUGAACAUUUGAAUUGCUGGAUGCUUGGACUUUUAUGUGUUCAUGUAUUUCUAAUUUUAUGAUUGUAUUAGUGGAUAAUUUGUAGGCCUAAAUUCAAUCAGGAACAUGUGAAAAACUAUGAUCAAUUAUAGCCUGAAUUGUAGGCGGUUAUUAUACUCAAAUUUGAUUAGGAAUAGAUGGAGAAAAUGCUGUUUUUAUAGCUUGAAUUUCCAAAAACUUGAGUUGAUUUCGAGUUUCUAGAUCGAGGACUUGCAAUUGGACUUGAGGACUUAAGGCUUGACUGGAGAGGAGAAGGGGAGAACUCAAAGCUUGUUCAUAGGCUCAUAGUUGUCUGCAACAACGCAUUUCCCCUUUGAACCUUGUUUGUGUAUUUGAUUAAUUGUGUGACAAUCAUUGAAUAAUUGAAUUCUUGGACUUUUACGUGUUCAUGUAUUUCUAAUUUUAUAAUGUAUUAGUGGAUAAUUUCUAGGCCUAAAUUCAAUUAGAAACAUGUGAAAAUCUAUGAACUUUGCCUGAAUUGUAGGCUGUUAUUAUGCUUAAAUUUAAUUAGGAACAAAUGGAGAAAAUGUUGUUUUUA